AAGAUAAGAUUAAAACAACCGGAUAGUAGGAAUGACAAUUUUUUUAUCAGAAAUGUUUCGGGAUACGUCGAUAUAUUGUUGAUGUAUUCACAUGCAUAUAUAAAAAAGUUAGGGUUUAGAAUUUAAUGUAUAAUGGUGGUGUUUCUGAUUUAAUAAUAAAAUUUGGAAUUUAGUCAUUAACAUUUAAGUUAUAAUAAGG
rnacentral:lncRNA from 1 species